rnacentral:rRNA from 1 species
UACGUAGGGGGCAAGCGUUAUCCGGAUUUACUGGGUGUAAAGGGAGCGCAGACGGAACUGCAAGUCUGAUGUGAAAGCCCGGGGCUCAACCGCGGGACUGCAUUGGAAACUGUAGAUCUGGAGUGCCGGAGGGGCAAGCGGAAUUCCUGGUGUAGCGGUGAAAUGCGUAGAUAUCAGGAGGAACACCGGUGGCGAAGGCGGGUCUCUGGGCCUGUACUGACGCUCAUGCACGAAAGCGUGGGGAGCAAACAGGAUUAGAUACCCCGGUAGU